rnacentral:tRNA from 1 species
AAGAAAGUGACAGAGGGGUAAUGUAUCUGACUUGAAAUCAGAUGACGGGGGUUCAAUUCCCUCCUUUCUCG